rnacentral:lncRNA from 1 species
AGUCCGGAACGCCGUUCGACGUGACGUCUCGUCGAAAUUCCGGAGCGGUCUUCUCGUCGCGGGGCGCGCCGGAGGUCGACGCUACGACGUUCCCGGAGGGGUCGUCGUCGUCGGGUAUUUGACGUGCAUCCGGAGUAGAACGAGGGCACGCGUCGAAUCGGCGAACCGUCGAAAGUGCGCAAGAAAUGAGAUCGCGUAAAUAACGGCAGAUUAAUUUCGUCGACACUCGUACGUAUAAAAGUGCAAAAUAAAUAAAUAAUACGUAUUUUUUUUAUGGGAAUUAGCCCACCCGGGCACGGGUCACCGACCCACAUCGGGGCGAAAAUGUAAUAAUAAUAAUAAUUGUUGAAGUUACAGUGUUCAUUUUUGGUGGAUAUCAACGAAAUAUGAUGCGAGAGGCUCAGACGACGACACAAACGACGACGCUCUCUCCGGUAUAUUUUCGGGACCGUCCGUAAAAACGAAACCAAAACACACGUGCGCAUUCAAAGUGGCGCUUUAUUCCACAAGUAAAAUAAAACAUAUUGACAUAAAUAUGGGGUAACCUAGUUUAUAUGUAACAAUAAUACUGAAGAACCUUAAAGAAAUACAAAAUGGAAAAAAAAAUCAAAAGUGAGGAACAAUAUAUUUAUGUUGUGUUGUCAAUAGUAAGAGAAACAAUCGAGACAGAGAGUCAGACGAGCGACCCGGGACUCGGUCACAAUUUUAGGGAUGCCACGUAGCAGGAAGAUCUACCACGGACGACACAUUACGCUUCCAAUAUUGUCUGCGGAGGUGGUAUCUCCCCGUUUGGUGGCUGCCUAAGUAUGUAAGAUUUUCCAAUGGAAAGUGUAUGUUUGGCAAAUGUAUCCAGGUCUUUAGAGAAUGUACUCAGAUAUUUGGGUUAGGUGUCAAGGGUUCAUGUAUAAUUUGCAUGCCUAAUUGACUAUGUAUAUUUUUUAACUUUAAUUUUUCAUUUGCAGUCACCCGACGGGAGUCAGAAACGUCAUUUUUGUGCGGACCGGCGACUCGACGGACCCCGGCCGAGGACGCCGCUCGAACCGCGGUUGCGGAGGAGCGCGCCGAUACGAGUCGGAGACGGCUCGUACAGUCGGCGCACGAGAGCGGUCCGGACGAAGACAUUCGGGAACGAGGACGAAGACGCUCGUCGACUGCGGACGAAGACACCGGUCGACGCGCGAGGAAGAUGCUCCGGAACACGGGAAGAACGCCACACUCCCGAGUGCGGGAAGACACUCGUCAACGCAGAAGGAGACACGCAUCAAUGUCGGGCCGGCGCGAUUGUUUUAAAGACGAUUUAACGUGUAAAAUGAAUGUACGUGUUGUUUGUAACGAUUGUUAUAAUGUUUGUAGUAUUGUUUUUAGAGACCGACUGCGAAGACGGAGGAAGUCGAUACAUGUCGAGAAUGAAUUUAUUGAAGAUGUUGCCUGUGAUCACUAGGUGUUUGCACUAAUUUGGGGAGAUGAUUACGAUCGUAGAACGUCACGGAAUGCGGCGCGCACGUCAUUUGUGGCGGGACGCAUCCGUAAAUAACGGCAGC